rnacentral:rRNA from 1 species
UACGUAGGGACCAAGCGUUGUUCGGAUUUACUGGGCGUAAAGGGCGCGUAGGCGGCGGGACAAGUCACUUGUGAAAUCUCCGGGCUUAACUCGGAACGGCCAAGUGAUACUGUCGUGCUAGAGUGCAGAAGGGGCAAUCGGAAUUCUUGGUGUAGCGGUGAAAUGCGUAGAUAUCGGGAGGAACACCAGUGGCGAAGGCGGCGAUCUGGGAAGAUACUGACGCUGAGGUGCGAAAGCGUGGGGAGCAAACAGG